GCCGGGGUAGCUCAGCUGGGAGAGCAACAGACUGAAGAACCAAGCAUUCUGGAGGUCCCGUGUUCAAUCCACGGUCCUGGCA